AAUUCGCGCGAGGGCUGCUAUUAAGAUAUGCAAACCGCCUCUUCGGGCGCAAGGUCCGGGAUGUGAUGGGUGCGGAGCGGGAGAGACACCGCCGCCCGCCGCCCCCUUCCCUCGGAUGCAGAGGCAGGUUGUUCGUGUGAACUCGGGCGAACGACUGGAGGCCCCUUUGUGUGACUAAAUUUGGCAAGAAUAUGGAUCCGAGCCAGUCUUUCCACGUGUGCUCCCAGCUCCCAGCUGAGAAGGCCAAGGGUUCUCUUCCGGUGCUCCAGGAAAGUGCCUGACUGACAGGAACUACAUCCAAUGCCCAGAAAACACAUCUACACAGGCACAGUGAAGCAUGGAGCGGAACAAUUUUCCACAUAAUGGAUGCAAUGAUGUUUGUGGUCCCAACAGACACAACAGUCAGAAGAAGUCUCGGGUGCUCUAGACACGGAUGUUUGGGGGAGAAGACAGUGGGGGGAAAGACAAAAGAAACACCAAUAAGACAAGAGCACAGUGAAUUUAGAGCUUGCUGAAUAGGCGCACUCAACCAGAACUGUCUGUUACUCAUCCGGAUGGAAAAUUUAAACCUUAUCAUUUCUCGGCAUAGAAACCAACAAAUGGGAGCAUAAUUCUGGUGGUGCUGCAAAUUCUAAAACAAUGCAAGAUAUGAAAAUCAGUGGCAAAGUGAAUUCAAGC